rnacentral:rRNA from 1 species
AUUGAACGCUGGCGGAAUGCUUUACACAUGCAAGUCGAACGGCAGCACGGGGCAACCUGGUGGCGAGUGGCGAACGGGUGAGUAAUAUAUCGGAACGUGCCCAAUCGUGGGGGAUAACGUAGCGAAAGUUACGCUAAUACCGCAUACGAUCUACGGAUGAAAGCGGGGGAUCGCAAGACCUCGCGCGAAUGGAGCGGCCGAUAUCAGAUUAGGUAGUUGGUGGGGUAAAGGCUCACCAAGCCAACGAUCUGUAGCUGGUCUGAGAGGACGACCAGCCACACUGGAACUGAGACACGGUCCAGACUCCUACGGGAGGCAGCAGUGGGGAAUUUUGGACAAAUGGGCGCAAGCCUGAUCCAGCCAUUCCGCGUGCAGGAUGAAGG